AGUGAACGCUGGCGGUAGGCCUAACACAUGCAAGUCGAACGGCAGCACAGGAGAGCUUGCUCUCUGGGUGGCGAGUGGCGGACGGGUGAGGAAUACAUCGGAAUCUACUUUUUCGUGGGGGAUAACGUAGGGAAACUUACGCUAAUACCGCAUACGACCAACGGGUGAAAGCAGGGGACCUUCGGGCCUUGCGCGAUUGACUGAGCCGAUGUCGGAUUAGCUAUUUGGCGGGGUAAAGGCCCACCAAGGCGACGAUCCGUAGCUGGUCUGAGAGGAUGAUCAGCCACACUGGAACUGAGACACGGUCCAGACUCCUACGGGAGGCAGCAGUGGGGAAUAUUGGACAAUGGGCGCAAGCCUGAUCCAGCCAUACCGCGUGGGUGAAGAAGGCCUUCGGGUUGUAAAGCCCUUUUGUUGGGAAAGAAAUCCAGCUGGCUAAUACCCGGUUGGGAUGACGGUACCCAAAGAAUAAGCACCGGCUAACUUCGUGCCAGCAGCCGCGGUAA
rnacentral:rRNA from 1 species